UCACCCUCACGUGCUCCUGCCUCGCAUCCCUCGCCAAACGGAAGCGCCGCCCCGGACCCUCCCCUGCCGCCGCCGCCGCCAGACGGAUGCACCGCUCCAGACGCAACGCCCCUGUUGCCUCGACGCCACAGAAGACUCCGCCACCGGCUGUCGGACAUCGUACGCCGCGCUGUACAAGCUGAUGCCUCCAGCGGAUCCGAUUUGCGCCGCGUAUGGAGAAUCCAAGUUGACACAGAUUUAGGAAUGAACUAUCGGAUCCAAGUGCUAAGCUGAAAGGGCUGAUACGGAUAAGGACUGGUAUGCAUUAGUAGCUAUAUGCUCCCCAUCCCCUUUGUUUUUUAUUUAAGAGAUGGCAAUUGCAUCUAUGGAGCAGUAGAAGCAAUAUUUUAGUGUUGCUCAUCUACUAAGAAUGGUCAUUUUACUUGUACAUCAUUUCAAUUUACAAGCCAUACUUCCAUAA